rnacentral:rRNA from 1 species
AGUGAACACUGGCGGUAGGCCUAACACAUGCAAGUCGAACGGCAGCACAGGAGAGCUUGCUCUCUGGGUGGCGAGUGGCGGACGGGUGAGGAAUACAUCGGACUCUACUCUGGCGUGGGGGAUAACGUAGGGAAACUUACGCUAAUACCGCAUACGACCUACGGGUGAAAGCAGGGGACCUUCGGGACUGGAGCGACGGAAUGAGCCGAGGUCGGAUUAGCUAGUUGGCGGGGUAAAGGCCCACCAAGGCGACGAUCCGAAGCUGGUCUGAGAGGAUGGUCAGCCACACUGGAACUGAGACACGGUCCAGACUCCUACGGGAGGCAGCAGUGGGGAAUAUUGGACAAUGGGCGCAAGCCUGAUCCAGCCAUACCGCGUGGGUGAAGAAGGCCUUCGGGUUGUAAAGCCCUUUUGUUGGGAAAGAAAUCCAGCUGGCUAAUACCCGGUUGGGAUGACGGUACCCAAAGAAUAAGCACCGGCUAACUUCGUGCCAGCCGCCGCAGUAA